rnacentral:rRNA from 1 species
AUGGAGAUUCAAGACAUUGAGCAUUGUGGAAUCGAGGUCGAUAGCAAGAUAAAAUGUUUCCAUUGGGAUGAUCCAAUUAAAAAGGUUUCUUUUGAGGGUGUGGACACAGGAAGAAGAUUCAUCGCUUGUAAGAAUGCAAAACCUUGUAAUUUCCGAAUUUGGUAUGAGCCAGAGUGGCCUGCAACUUUGAAACGAGCUCUACAAUAG